AUUGAACGCUGCGGCAGGCUUAACACAUGCAAGUCGAGCGAGCGGCGGACGGGUGAGUAAUGCUUAGGAAUCUGCCUAUUAGUGGGGGACAACAUCUCGAAAGGGAUGCUAAUACCGCAUACUAUCAGAUGAGCCUAGGUCGGAUGAGCUAGUUGGUGGGGUAAAGGCCUACCAAGGCGACGAUCCGUAACUGGUCUGAGAGGAUGAUCAGUCACACUGAACCUGAGACACGGUCCCGACUCCUACGGGAGGCAGCAGUGGGGAAUAUUGGACAAUGGGCGAAAGCCUGAUCCAGCCAUUCCGCGUGUGUGAAGAAGGCCUUAUGGUUGUAAAGCACUUUAAGCGAGGAGGCGUUACUCGCAGAAUAAGCACCGGCUAACGCUGUGCCAGCAGCCGCGGUAAUAC
rnacentral:rRNA from 1 species